CUUGUCGGUUUCCCGCCCGCUUCUCCUCCAAAAGCUUUUGAGCUCUGCAAUCUGCAUUAACUCUCAGCACCCAGCCUUUCGCGCUUCCAGAAGCUAGAGAUAAGCAAGUGAUCGCUAGAGAGAGAAGUGAUUGCUCAUUCCGUUUUUGUUCCAGCCCUCCUCCGGAAAGCUGCAUCCAAAAGCCGCAUCCUUACUCAUUUGUCCUUUCUCAUCCAAGUCCGGAGUGUUAUAGCUCAAUGACAGGGUCUCUCUACAUAGUCCUACCUAUCCUGACUUGGGGCCUGGAGAGGUGGCUCAGUGGUUAAGAGCACUGGCUGCUCUUCCAGAGGACCUGGAUGCGACUUGAGCUGUACAGUCUGCACUAAGUGACCAAAAGCAGAAGCUUCGUUCCCACGACUAGGGCAGUCUCUGAAGGGAAAAUAAAAGACAAACAAAAUAGUGGAAUGCGAGGGGCUCAGUGAUUUAUUUUGCAGACUGAAUGGUAAUUUAGCUUCUUUUCCUUCCUUAAAAAAACAAAACACACACAUACACACACACACUGACAAAACAAAAACAGGGUCUUUCUAUGUAGCCCUGCUGAAUAGGCCAGGACAGCCUUGAAUUCAUGGUCAUCCAUCUGCUUCGGUGUCCUAGCAUUCAUUUCCUAUAUUACCAUGCCUGCCUGGUAACUUCACUUUGAUGUCUCUGUCCAAUGGUACAAAGCAGUACAAGUUUAUCACAGACUGCACACUGAGUGGUUGACACUCUCCAAAGUCUUAUGUGCAUGUGGGUAUGCACACAUGGACACAUAUGCCUGCACCCCUGCUCUGAGAGCACCAGUCUAAUAUUUAUCAAAUUCUUAUUGUGAAACAUUACCAAUGAGGUGGCCAGAAUACUUUUAUUUACUCCAUGUAGCACUAAGAGACUACUAGAGGGGCUGAAAAGUUGGCUCAGCAGUUAAGAGUGUUUCCUGCUUAUGUAGAGAAUCAAGGUUCCGUUCUUAGCACCCAUAUGGUGGCUCACAAUCGUCUGUAACAUCAGUUCCAGAGAUCUGACCCUUGCUCUAAACUCUAAGGGUACCAUCAUGCACAUGGUACACAGCCAUACAUGCAGGCAAAACAUUCAUAUACAUAACAUUUAUUUUUCUUUUUAAGAAAGUGUCAGAGUACCCAGCAAUCCUAGAACAUUCCAAUUUCAAUACAGGAAGCUGAACAGGAGGUGCAAAAUGGAAAGGAAUACAGGAAUAAAUCUGUAAAUUGUAUGUUCAGACUAUACAUCUGUUGUCUUAAGGAUUUUAUAGUGAAAAAGAAGACUGGACUGAUCACUCAGUCCCCACCCAAGCCCACAUCCAGUGCUUUGAAUUGGCCCACCCCAACAUCUACCCCAUCUAUGACCUGUUGAAACUCGUGAAGAGACUUGUCCUGUGGAACCAUAGCCAAAGGAUCUCCAUGACUCUGGGCAACAUCAGGAUAUCUGAGAGGACUUUAGGUGGGGGUCCAGUGUUGAUGGUGUACCAAAAGCCAGACGGCUUGAACCAGACCAACAACUCAUUACAAUGAACAUUUGCAAGUGAAGCUGUUUGGACAAAAGGGUCAAUAGCAUGCCACAUCACAGCUCUUGAUGCCACUAAGAUGAACAAAGAUGAUGGAGAGACAGGAAAGACAGAGGAGUGACGUAUUUUAUUGUUGCUGUUUGUUUUGAAUUUAUUUUAUCUCUUAAUUUUCUUUUGGGUGGGGGACACUAAGGGUGACGAGUAGAUAUGGAGGGAAUAGGAAGUGAGUGGGUUGGGGGGUGUUGUAAAAUUCCCAAAGAAUCAAUAAAUUACGAUUUUUAAAAAUAGAGCAGUUGAGAAAACAUGGGGCUUAUGGGCUAGGCGAUGUGUCUAAAUACCGUCAGCAAGUUACUGGUGGGGAAUUCUUCAGGUCUUUCCCGCCCCACUCUAGUUUUGGACUUGCAAACAGUGGUUCUCUCCCUGGCUACACACAGUAUACAUGUGGAGCUUUAACAGAUUCCUGCGCCUAGGAAAUAUACCAAACUAAUGAAAGCGGAAUCUCUGGUAGGGGGACCACAGCUUCGCCACCCUUUAACCAUGGUGCCUCCAGAGAUCAUCAGGCACAAAGCAGGAUUCUAGGAACAGGUUUAUUAGAGCUUCUUGACAACUGCCACAAACUCUAGAGCAAGUUCCUAUUUGUUCCCAUGGCCGCCAUGAUAACCAUCACUCAGUAGAUAACACGGUAUUAUGGAAUUACAGCAGCCACUUCAUUGUUCCCAAUAGUUUGCCACAAUAGAUCUCUUUUUUUUUAUUUCUUGGACUGUCACAAAUGAUGUAUCCAAGACCAGACUUGAGAACAGGGGCUUCUCUGCAGCUGCCAUGUGGGUCACUGGUUAUGCAGACAGCAGUCUUCUCUUCCUCUCCCUCUCUUUCUUAAACACAGAGCCUGAUCUCAAAUCUUCUAGGUACCCCAGCCUGGCCUUGAACUCAUAACCUUCCUGUCUUGUCCCCUCAGGUUCUUGGAUUAGAAGUAUGUGCAAACCACAGUUUGCUCUCUGUCCUGGUUUUCACAGAAAGGCAGCAAUGCCUGCUCCACUGCCGAGCUAAUCCUUACCUGUUCUCGGUCUCCUUGCUGGGCUGCAUCCUCAUGGCAGCACGUUACCUACAUCAUUAGGACGUUAACUCAAAAAAUAACUACAAAAGCUUUUAAAUGUUUAUUUGUAUGAAGUAGGCGGGAUGGUGCAAAAGUGCAAAGAAACUUACGCAUUUGGGCCCUUAUUUCCCUACCGAUCACAUUAGUGUAGAAUAAGAAUAAGUAACAUUAAGAGGAAUAGAAGAAAUGAACAUAAAUAUACCAACAGUAGCCAAGUCCUCCAAUGCACUGAAGGAUGAGCUGACGUUUUCGGCCUCGAUUCACAUUUAUCUGAACGCCUAAACCAAUUACACUCUCUCUACUGUUCUAGGCCUGUGAAAAAGGGCAGUGGACAACAUUUAUAUUACAAGACAGCAACCUUUUAUUAAAACUGUUUUUGUCUAAAACUAUGCAGAGUUUGAUCUCUUGUUCAUAAAUUAGGCUAAGUCUAACAUCACUAAACCA